GGUGAACGCUGGCGGCGUGCCUAACACAUGCAAGUCGAGCGAUUCUCUUCGGAGAAGAGCGGCGGACGGGUGAGUAACGCGUGGGUAACCUGCCCUGUACACACGGAUAACAUACCGAAAGGUAUGCUAAUACGAGAUGAUAUAUUUUUAUUGCAUGAUAAAAAUAUCAAAGCUUUUGCGGUACAGGAUGGACCCGCGUCUGAUUAGCUAGUUGGUAAGGUAAUGGCUUACCAAGGCGACGAUCAGUAGCCGACCUGAGAGGGUGAUCGGCCACACUGGAACUGAGACACGGUCCAGACUCCUACGGGAGGCAGCAGUGGGGAAUAUUGCACAAUGGGCGAAAGCCUGAUGCAGCAACGCCGCGUGAGCGAUGAAGGCCUUCGGGUCGUAAAGCUCUGUCCUCAGGAAGAUAAUAGACGGUACUUGAGGAGGAAGCCCGGCUAACUACGUG
rnacentral:rRNA from 1 species